GGCAGCGGGAUUGAAGCUUGCUUCAAUUGCCGGCGACCGGCGCACGGGUGAGUAACGCGUAUCCCAUCUUCCGCUUACUCGGGGAUAGCCUUUCGAAAGAAAGAUUAAUACCCGAUGGUAUCUUAAGCACGCAUGAGAUUAAGAUUAAAGAUUUAUCGGUAAGCGAUGGGGAUGCGUUCCAUUAGGCAGUUGGCGGGGUAACGGCCCACCAAACCUACGAUGGAUAGGGGUUCUGAGAGGAAGGUCCCCCACAUUGGAACUGAGACACGGUCCAAACUCCUACGGGAGGCAGCAGUGAGGAAUAUUGGUCAAUGGGCGAGAGCCUGAACCAGCCAAGUAGCGUGAAGGAUGACGGCCCUACGGGUUGUAAACUUCUUUUGUGCGGGAAUAAAGGAACCUACGUGUAGGUUUUUGCAUGUACCGUAACGAAUAAGCAUCGGCUAACUCCGUGCCAACAGCCGCGGUAAUACGGAGGAUGCGAGCGUUAUCCGGAUUUAUUGGGUUUAAAGGGAGCGUAGACGGGUUUUUAAGUCAGCUGUGAAAGUUUGGGGCUCAACCUUAAAAUUGCAGUUGAAACUGGAGACCUUGAGUACGGUUGAGGCAGGCGGAAUUCGUGGUGUAGCGGUGAAAUGCUUAGAUAUCACGAAGAACUCCGAUUG
rnacentral:rRNA from 1 species